GUGUCCUCUUUCCUGUACCUGCAGGUGACUCCAGCACCCAGCGAGAGUGAUGUGACUGAUGAUGGCGCUGUCUGGUCAUGGCUUUUUCAGAGUGUUACAGAGGAGGAGGGCUUGCCUCUUGCCAAGGUGACCCCAGCAACCAGCG